GUGGGCCCUGGUCUACGGGGCCGGGAAGGUGCGGUUUAGAUGCUGCUCGCUGGACUCGCGUUCCCCGGGAAGCCUGCGCUGACCACUGUACCCCUCUUCCUCCUCCGAGUUCCUAUGACUUAACUUGUGCCGCUCGAUCCUUGCCGCGGUGUACCUGUGGCUAGAGCUCUGGACAGGAGACAGGAGAUAAGUGUUCCCCGCCCUGCUCACCUCUCUCUGGGGGACUGUUUUCCCAUCAUUAGACGGGGUGGGGUGGUGGUAGUCAUACACUCCUAGAGUAGCAGUGGCAUUACAGGGGAUUCAUUCUAGACCUAAAAGUAUCUGGUCGUUGUAAGCCGUUUGGAGGUUUGUUUGCAAAGCGGUUCUUUGUUCAGGAAAUAUUUAAUGAGCACAUUUGGGUGCUGGGUUGUGACAGUACAAAAAGAUUGGCCCUGCCCUGCACUCAGGGAGUUACAGGCACUGGUAAACAGGUACGUGGAGCAUGGGGGUGAGGAGGCGGGCAGGGCAACACAGCUGCGACUGAAUGCUGCACGGCACUGAUGUGAAGUCAUUUAUAUUGUUACUUUAUUUAAAGAUGGCUCUUUUUUGCCUUUUCAAAAAAGACUUAACUAGCUGGAAAAGAAUGCAAGUGUCCUAGGAUCCUGGCCUAGCUGGGACUUUAUUUUUUCUUUUUUUGCAGUACGCAGGCCUCUCACUGUUGUGGCCUCUCCCGUUGCGUAGCACAGGCUCCGGACGCGCAGGCUCAGCGGCCAUGGCUCACGGGCCCAGCCGCUCCGCAGCAUAUGGGAUCUUCCCAGACCGGGGCACGAACCCGUGUCCCCUGCAUCGGCAGGAGCACUCUCAACCACUGCGCCACGAGGGAAGCCCAGCUGGGACUUUAUUGAAACUGAUAGUGAUCAAAAUGUCUGGGGUAGGGGGAUGAGGGCAGAGACUGCUCCCAUUUUCCGAUGGCUGGACCCGGAAGAGUGAAGUGACUCCCAUGAGGGAGGAAGCCACAGGAAAACAAUCUGACAUCAGGUAAGAAUCCGAGUCAAAAUUUGGUGAAACUGAAGAGAAAUUGGAUGUUCCCGGUGGCUCCAUAAGUACCUAUGUUGGACUCUAGGGGGCAGAGUACGAGCAGGAUUGGUCAGGGAUGCAGGGCUGUUCAGACUGAAAUCAAAUACACGCCGACCUCAGAGAUAACUGCAGAUUCCAGUCCAGACCACCGCAGUGAAGCGAAUUAUCGCAAGAAGGAUUAUGGCAGGAAAAGUGAAAUGGGUCACUGAUAUCGAGAAGUCGGUGCUGAUAAAUAACUUUGAAAAGAGAGGAUGGGUCCAAGUGACAGAAAACGAGGACUGGAAUUUUUACUGGAUGAGUGUGCAAACCAUCCGCAAUGUUUUUAGUGUCGAGACUGGCUACCGGCUCUCAGAUGAUCAAAUAGUCAACCAUUUCCCGAACCACUAUGAACUGACGCGGAAGGAUCUGAUGGUGAAAAACAUCAAGAGAUACAGGAAAGAGCUGGAGAAGGAAGGGAGUCCUUUGGCAGAGAAGGACGAAAGUGGGAAAUACCUCUACCUGGACUUCGUCCCCGUCACCUACAUGCUGCCUGCCGACUACAACCUGUUCGUGGAGGAGUUCAGGAAAAGCCCCUCUAGCACCUGGAUCAUGAAACCUUGUGGCAAAGCCCAGGGAAAGGGCAUCUUUCUGAUCAACAAGCUCUCGCAAAUCAAAAAGUGGUCCCGGGACAGCAAAACGUCUUCGUUCAUGACUCAGUCUACCAAGGAAGCCUACGUGAUCUCUCUGUACAUUAACAACCCGUUACUAAUCGGCGGCAGGAAGUUUGACCUGCGCUUGUAUGUUCUGGUGUCUACGUACCGCCCACUGCGCUGCUACAUGUAUAAACUUGGAUUUUGCCGCUUUUGCACAGUAAAAUACACCCCGAGUACCAGUGAGCUGGACAACAUGUUUGUUCAUCUCACCAACGUUGCCAUUCAGAAACACGGGGAGGAUUACAACCACAUCCACGGGGGCAAGUGGACGGUGCACAACCUGCGACUCUACCUGGAGAGCACCCGAGGCAAGGAGGUGACCAGCAGGCUGUUCGACGAGAUCCACUGGAUCAUUGUGCAGUCCCUGAAGGCUGUGGCGCCGGUGAUGAACAACGACAAACACUGCUUUGAGUGCUACGGCUAUGACAUCAUCAUCGACGACAAGCUGAAGCCCUGGCUGAUCGAGGUGAACGCGUCCCCAUCCCUCACCUCCAGCACGGCCAACGACCGAAUCCUUAAGUAUAACCUGAUUAAUGACACCCUCAACAUCGCCGUCCCUAACGGCGAAAUUCCAGACUGUAAAUGGAACAAGUCACCCCCAAAGGAAGUCCUUGGCAAUUAUGAAAUUCUCCCCGUUUGCCACCAGAAGCCCAAUGCAGAAAUGUGUUCUUCAACCUCAGAGCCUCUAACCCACACUCAACCCACGGAUUCUGGCUCUGGGAAUGAGCUUAUAACGGAAGCACACGCUCUCCCAGAAGUCAGCAAGAUGUAGCUAACGCAACAUAACUGAGCAUCUUAGCACCGUCUACGUUUGAUGUGAACGUCUUCACACGUGUCACAGAGGCUCCUCGGUCAGGGUGUGGUCAGCAGUGAUACCUACGCACACACUUCAACAGUGGCAGGAACUUCACGCUCUGAGCUACAGGGUACGAUGAGGAGCUGGCACAGGGCGACGGGUCUGACCGAGAGCUGAGGAGUCGGCCGGGCCAGUCGCUGGGGCCCAGAGGGGGCCGAUCGAGAGACUCCGGGAGGAC